rnacentral:lncRNA from 1 species
UUUUGGAGUUAAGUCAAGGCAAAUUAUAUAAAUAAACAUUUUUACUUUUAUUCAUGAAAACACUAAAACAGCUGGUUCCCAAGUUACAUGGAUAGUUAAAGGUGGAAGCUGGAAAAUUCUGCCUGGUUCUUUUGAACCUGGUCUUUAAACUGCACCGGUCUUUUAAGUUUUAAGAGAGUCUUUAGUUUUUACUCAGUAAGCUGUGGCCCAUACUACUACACAGUGAGCAGUAAGGUUCCCAGAGAGUUGAGAGAGCGUGGAAGGAGCCCAGAGGUGUCUGCUGAUUGAGCUUUGUAAACUCCCACAUGCCAUUGCAUACACAGGGCACUGAGGGCAUGUUCAGCUUGGUCUACACAGUCUGAUCCAGCCCACACAGUUGACUACUAGAACCAGUUGGUCUGGCUUUGGUAAUCUCCAUUCAGAACGCAUGUGUGUUCUGGGUGUUUUAAGGAACAUUUCAGAAACUGUCAGGACUCAAGAAUAGACUGGUUUCCUAAAGGGAAGACAGUGGGUCUGAGCCCACCGUUACUUCUAUCAAGCAAGUGCCUGAUGUAUGAGCAUGCUAUAGUGAAAAGCCAUAAAUUCUCUCCUCUAUUUUUUCCUAUGUGCUGGGGAUUGAGCCAAAUUCUUGCAGAUUUUCUACCACUAAGCUACACAACAGUGCUAUUUCCCAAUUUCCUUAAAGGCAGUUAUUAAGAUACUAUUUCUAUGACUUGUCACUUCCAUAUAGUAGCACAAUCAUUACUAUAGUAAAGUAUGUAACAUCUCUCUACCCCCAAAAUUUUCUUAUUCCUUUGGAGAGAACUUUUCCCUGCUUAUUACUGAUAUGUUUCCUUCCACAGUUUAUAUUUUUGCUAUUUAGAAUGUCAUGAAAAUAGCCUUUUACAUUUUAGUUUCCUUCACUUAGCUCAAUAUAGUUGAAGUUUUUUCAUGUUAUAUAUGUCUGUAGUUAUUCACUGUGUUUCUAUAGUUUUAUAGUUCAUUAGUUGAUAAUUUUUAUAGAAAGAAAUGAUCAAAAAAAUAGAUGUAGGACAGUAAACAUUAGAACUGACUGAGGCCAAACAUCCAUACAUCCUGAUUGCACGGGACAGACUUAGUUUGUGCCUGUUGUCCUAACAAGCUUUUUCAUGAUGCCUCCUCUCAUUCCCAGCAGUGUCUUGGUUUGGAUGGUAAAUUAUUUAGUUAAUCCAAAUGUGACAGGACAAGAUGUGAUCAUACUUCAUAGGCUUUCUGGUGGUGUUCAAUUUGCUUUCCAAACACUAAAUCAUACAUAUUUAUGUUUUAUGUAAAUGCUAUGAAUGUUAAUAGCAAUAAUAUAUAUAAUCUCACUUUGAUCGUCACAAUAUUAUUUAUAUUUUACAUUUGAGAGAAUAAAUUCAGAAUAGAAGGCCCUCCAAACUCAUGAACUAGAAGGUUUAUUUAUAUAUCAUCUAUAUAUGUAUUCACAUCUGUUAAUUGGGAGACAUUGUGGUUUAUUAGUUAAGAUUAGAAACAGUAGGAAGAGAAUCCCUAGACUCCAACCCCAACUCUUUGCAUUUUUGCUGUUGAUUUUAGGGCAAAUUCAUCUCAUCUAUACAAAAAAAGUACAAAUGUAUGUAUUUAUGUCUGUGUGUGCACACAGAGAGGUCAGUGCCUGACACCCAGCAGAUCUCUUACGAGAUUACUUAACAUUACUGUAGUGGUGCAUUUCCUUCCCAGCCCUCCUCCUGCCCCAUUAGAAAUAACAGGGACUCCUCAUGUGUAUUUCCUCUUUUUUUGAGGGAUUAUCUCUUACAGCCCAGGCUAGUCUUAAACUUGCUCUAUAGUAGAAGAUGACCUUAAACUCCUGAUCUUCCUUCUCCUGCCUCUUAAAACCUAGAACUAUAAGUAUGAACCACUGUUCUUGGCUUCUCACUCUU